AGCUUUGCUCAAUGGCAGUAUCAUAGCCAAUAAGGUUUAACUGAGGCAUAAUUAUUGCUAAUUGAAAACCAAGUGCCCAACCAGAUCUCCAGUUGGAUGGGGUACCUUACCUCAUGCUAUAAAGAACAUGUCCAUCUGGGAACACCCUGAGCAUGAUGUUAU
ensembl:snRNA U4 U4 spliceosomal RNA